CUUGCUGCAGGAUAUGCAGUAGGCAACAUGAGGCUUCAGGUGAGGGCCGUGAUCAAUCAGUCAUUCUUUUUAAAUGAUACCGAAAAUCCUCAGUAAAAGAGAGGGGGAAGAAAGAAGUAGACAUUUCGUACUCCAGCUGGUCAUAUUUAAUAAUUCCAAGGAGGAUUAUCUGCAGUGUUGGCGUACUGAAGCAAAGGACUGUAAUGUUAUAGAAACAGCAGAACAUAGGAACACCGAUUGGUUGAGUACCAAUAAAUACCAAUUAUUUUUCAAGAGCUAGCUAUUGAAACUGGAUGAUAUGCAGCAAGGCAUGUUUGUGGAGGCCAAGUGGACUAAGAAGUAUGCAAGAUUGUACAUACUUAAAGGAUAAAGGCGAAAACAUACAUUAUGGCUUGACCCAUCUUCACUGAAACCUGAAAAAAAUUACAACAUGACUUAACUGGUUUUUACUGAAGUGUGGAAGACUUAACAGAUCUCUACUGAAAAGUGAUUGAUCCCAGGGAUGAAUAGCCAUAUCUUACUGCUCUGUGCAGGUUCCAAGCAUGUCAGCAUCAUAUAUCAUGGAUUGGAUUUGCUCUCUUUUGGUCUCAAUCAGGUAAUUGUUCUCAAAUUCUCCUGGCAUUUUCACUACUUGGGUUAAAUUUCCUGUUACAACUAAAAAAUUCAUUUGUACAAUCAUAAAUUCAAAAACUUUCCUAGGCCAAAAGUCAGCUUUCCAGCAACUCAGUGUUAGAAACAUGUAUGUUAAUCUUCUAAAUGAACUUUGAAAACACAUUAUUUUUUUCUAUUUUGACAAAGAUGCUCUUCUCUGCAAAGAGAAGCAGUUUGAAAGUCACAUGCAUACUGCAAGGGCUAUCAAAGGCUAUGCAUAAUUUACUUGUGUAAGUAGAUGAAAAUACCCAAAUGAUGUUUAGAAAUACUUGUCACUGUUCUGUUUCAUUAA